GGGGAUGUAAUGGUUUCGACGGGGGGAGAGAGGCGUGAGCAGCGGGCCGUGGCGGUGCACCACGAUAAAAGCGCCAACUUAAAAUGAACUGACAACAAUUAUUCUGUUGCCGUCGCUGCCUGAUUAGGCGCGACCGUUCUGCCCACCACAGUACCGAGUGGGGCCAGAGCGUCGAUUAGGUACUGAACAUGCACGGGCCUAAGCUUUGCAGCCCGUCAGGUAUUGAUGAAGCUACCGACGUGUAGUGCGUGUCUGUCCGCCCGCACUGAGGGAAUCCCAAUAGACUGACUGCGCCCGGAGAUACUCUAACCGCUUUCUUUUCGGACAGGGGUUCGAUUCCCCUCAUCUCCACCA
rnacentral:tmRNA from 1 species